rnacentral:ncRNA from 1 species
AUAAAUGCUGUGAAGGGAAGAGUAAUUAUAUUUUGAAGUUAAAGCGAGCUGGUUAUGGUGGGAGUCCAGUACAGAUUUUAUAAUGAAAAACAUCCUCGAGCUACUAAGAGAAAUCUUUUAAGAGAGUAGAUUUAGUCGGAACCAAACCGUUAUCAUAUUGGUGAUGUAUGAUAGUACAUCAAUAGAGUUGAACUUGAUGAAAGUUAAAUUAGGUGGUACCGCGGAAGUAUAGUCUUUCGUCCUAAGU